rnacentral:rRNA from 1 species
AUUGAACGCUGGCGGCAUGCCUUACACAUGCAAGUCGAACGGCAGCACGGGAGCAAUCCUGGUGGCGAGUGGCGAACGGGUGAGUAAUAUAUCGGAACGUGCCCAGUCGUGGGGAUAACGUAGCGAAAGCUACGCUAAUACCGCAUACGAUCUAUGGAUGAAAGCGGGGGAUCGCAAGACCUCGCGCGAUUGGAGCGGCCGAUAUCAGAUUAGGUAGUUGGUGAGGUAAAGGCUCACCAAGCCGACGAUCUGUAGCUGGUCUGAGAGGACGACCAGCCACACUGGGACUGAGACACGGCCCAGACUCCUACGGGAGGCAGCAGUGGGGAAUUUUGGACAAUGGGCGCAAGCCUGAUCCAGCAAUGCCGCGUGCAGGAUGAAGGCCUC